rnacentral:rRNA from 1 species
CCUACGGGGGACUGCAGUGGGGAAUAUUGGACAAUGGGGGCAACCCUGAUCCAGCCAUGCCGCGUGUGUGAAGAAGGCCCUCGGGUUGUAAAGCACUUUCAGUGAGGAAGAACGCCUGGUGGUUAAUACCCAUCAGGAAAGACAUCACUCACAGAAGAAGCACCGGCUAACUCCGUGCCAGCAGCCGCGGUAAUACGGAGGGUGCGAGCGUUAAUCGGAAUUACUGGGCGUAAAGCGCGCGUAGGUGGCUUGAUAAGCCGGUUGUGAAAGCCCCGGGCUCAACCUGGGAACGGCAUCCGGAACUGUCAAGCUAGAGUGCAGGAGAGGAAGGUAGAAUUCCCGGUGUAGCGGUGAAAUGCGUAGAGAUCGGGAGGAAUACCAGUGGCGAAGGCGGCCUUCUGGACUGACACUGACACUGAGGUGCGAAAGCGUGGGUAGCAAACAGGAUUAGAUACCCCUGUAGUC